rnacentral:rRNA from 1 species
CCUACGGGUGGCAGCAGUGGGGAAUAUUGGGCAAUGGAGGCAACUCUUACCCAGCAAUGCCGCGUGAAUGAAGAAGGUCUUCGGAUUGUAAAGUUCUUUAAUUGGGGACGAAAAAAAUGACGUUACCCAAGAAAUAAGCCCCGGCUAACUACGUGCCAGCAGCCGCGGUAAUACGUAGGGGGCAAGCUUUUUUCGGAAUGAAUGGGGGUAAAGGGUGUGUAGGCGGUGUAGCAAGUUAGAAUGGAAAUACCUAGGGCUUAACCCAGGUUCUGCGUUUAAAACUGCUAUACUUGAGUGCAGUAGAGGAAAGCGGAAUGCCUAGUGUAGCGGUGGAAUGCGUAGAUAUUAGGAGGAACAUCAGUGGCGAAGGCGACUUUCUGGACUGUAACUGACGCUGAGGCACGAAAGUGUGGGGAGCAAACAGGAUUAGAUACCCUUGUAGUC